AAUUAGAGAACUUGAAUAAGUAUAUAUUUUGAAAAUAUAAUAAAGAAAUUAAAAUUUCUUCUGAUUU
rnacentral:tRNA from 1 species